UUCACCUCAGAGCUUUCUGGAGGCUGGGCAGGCCCCAGCUUCUGCCCUUCAGCCCAGUUUGGUCCAGCUCAUGGGAGAUAAGGGCUGGAGCAGAGAGCUUCAUCUCAAAGGCCACUUCUUCCAAGGAGCUGUCCCUGAUUCUCCCAGGGACGCCGAGCCAGAACUAGUAUGGCACAGAGUGACGACGAACGUUUCCUUUUGACCUCUGCCUGGGCUGCUCCCGCUUCCUAGAACUCUUUCCUCCACCUGACUACAUCCUACUGACCCUUCAAGUCAUGGUCAGACGUUGCCUCCUCCAGGAAGCCCUCCUGGCUUUUCCACUGGACAGGGAAGCCAGGUCACGAUGUUACAGAGAGCCACUUCCGGGUGAGACCAGAAGGGGCAAGCAUCGUGCUCAAGGUAACACAGCCAAGCGGCGGCUCCUCGCCAGGGCUCUGUGCCAUCCGUUGCCCUGCUCCCCCCACCUGGCAGCCUCCCGGCUCUGGCCAAAUAACCCGCCCCAGGCCCCGGGGACGCAG